rnacentral:lncRNA from 1 species
GGACAAGGAGACGGCAGGGGGGGACGUGGACCCCCAAAGGAGGGGACAAGGACACGGCCUUGGGCUGCGCGUGUUCCAGGGUGUCCCCAAGGAGCAGCCCCACGGCAGCGGGGACAAGGAGACGGCAAGGGGGAUGUGGCCCCCCCCCCCAAAGGAGGGGACAGGGACACGGCGUGGGGAAGGAGCAGCCCCACGGCAGCGGGGACAAGGACACGGCAAGGGGGAUGUGGCCCCCCCCCCAAAGGAGGGGACAGGGACACGGCAGGGGGCUGCAGCAGCAAUGGGGCACGGCCUGGGGAAGGAGCAGCCCCCGGGGCGGUGGGGACAGGGAUGUGGCGCCCCAAAGGAGGGGACAAGGACACGGCCUUGGGCUGCGCGUGUUCCAGGGUGUCCCAAAGCACCAGCCCCACGGCAGCGGGGACAAGGACACGGCCCGGGGCUGCGUGUGUCCCCGAGGGUCCCACAGCCCUGGGAAGCAGCGUCCCCAAGGAGCAGCCCCGUGGCGGCGGGGACAAGGACACGGCAAGGGGGAUGUGGCCCCCCCCAAAGGAGGGGACGGGGGACACGGCAGGGGGCUGCAGCAGCGACGGGACACGGCGUGGGGAAGGAGCAGCCCCGUGGCAGCGGGGACAAGGACAUCCCGGGGGCUGCGUGGGCUGCAGCAGCGACGGGACACGGGCCUCGGGGACAGGGACGUCACACGACGCUGCGCGUUCAAAGGGCGGCAACGGGACACGGCGUCUGGAAGGAGCAGCCCCGGGGCGAUGGGGACAAGGACAAGGACAAGGACACGGCCCGGGGCUGCGUGUGUCCCAGAGGGUCCCUCAGCCCUGGGAGGCAGCGUCCCCAAGGAGCAGCCCCGUGGUGGCGGGGACAAGGACACGGCAGGGGGGGAUGUGGCCCCCCAAAGGAGCAGCCCCGUGACGGCGGGGACAAGGACACGGCGGUGGGGACGGGGACAUCACAGGGGGCGGCGUGGGCUGGAGGGGCCGCAGUGGGGCCGGGCCCCAGCGCUGUGUUGUCCCCAAGGCCCCUGGGGCUGCGGUGACAAGGACGUCCCCUGGCCCUGCCGGGGGGCAAUAAAGAGCAGAGGGGCUGGUGCCA